UUCACAUGUGUUUUUGUGUACAUGCUGAACUGUAACUGUAACUGUGACUGAUUGCUAUGCUGUACAGAAAUUAAGAGUAAAACAUGGAUAACAUUGUCGGAUUAUGCAUUUAGUAACGGUUUAUGUCUACCGAAAUAUUGCAUAAAGAAAAUGAAAGUAGUCGCGUUGAUAAGUGGAGGCAAAGACAGCUGCAGUGUGUUUCUGCUGGACACCAGAUAGUAGCUCUGGCCAACCUGCAUCCUGCUAACACAGGAAAAGGAGGCUGUCGUGGCAGUGUCUGUAGGGGCCAUUCGCUCAGACUACCAGAGAGUACGGGUGGAAAAGGUGCGUUCUCUGAGACACAGACAUGUACGCCCAAGAGUUUUGGCUUCAGUUACCUGCACACUGCCUAUGUGAGUGUGUUUGUGCAUGCAAGUGUAUGAGUGUGUUGUGUAUGCAAGUGUGUGUUGUGUGUGUGACACAGACAACUCUAGCGUAAAGUAUGUGCCAUCUUAAGAUAAUUCCCCCUGUUUAAUUCCCCCUCUUCAACGGAAUCUGCUGAACAAAGCCACUGGCACCAGAGACGGUUCAGAGCACGUGCCAUGUGAGCCUCGACGUGGCAGCCUGCCUGCAAAACUAGCUAAAGUGCCCGAUGCACUUUGAAGUUCUUGUGAUCCUUGGCUGGACCCUGAGAAACACUUGGGGAAACCUCUGGCUGACAUGGAGCCCUAUCUAACUCAGCUCUCUCAGAAGUAUGGAGAAGGGGGCAGAUAAGAGGCGUUUACUCUUGACUGUCCUCUAUUCAAGAGGAGACUUGUUAUGUGAGCUGGAGAGGAGAGGCUGGCAGCUGCAACAUAUUGUCCUGGUUCACCUGUAUGUGAGGAACAUGGAGGACAUCAACAAAGUCUACACCACCCACUUCGGUAUCAACCCCCCUGCCAGGUUCCCAUCCCUGUCUCCUACGUCAUAUUACCUACACACACCUAUCCUGCGUUCUUAGAUCAGUGCAGAUGAAGGACGGGAUAAGGAGAAGAGAUUACAGACUAUUUAGCAACCCUGGACUGACCCCUCACCCAAAGAGCAGAGACAGUUCCCCUUUCAAUGUUUUGCAGGCAUAUCUUUUCACAUAUUCUCACAAAAUCCUUCAUUGUCAGUAUACUUUUGAUGAGUAUACAGGUCAUGUCAUCAGGCUCUCCUCCUUCAUGUCCUCCCCUCCUCUUCAUUCCUCCCACCACCUCUCCGGGGUGUGUGUCCAGGCCCCUCUGCCUGCCGGUCAGCUCCUCCAGAUGGACUGCCUGCUCCACGACUGACCCGGAGGAGGGCACCUUCCACUGCAGAGGCCCUUCACGUCCAGAGCCUGUCCCGCUGGGUUCCCGCCAACAUCGGGCCCUACAGCCAGGCCCUCAUGGUGGAUGAGGCUUUGUUCUCUGCUGGCCAGAUCACCCUGGUGCCUUGUAUCAUGCAGCUGGUGAGUGCUGGAGCCAGGACUCAGGCCUGCUAGUCCUUCAGCCACAUAGAGAAGGUUCUGGAAGAAGGGAUCAGCAGCCUCACCCUGGGCCAUGUGCUGCAGGCCCAAUGCUACGCCACCCGCAGCCCAGACAUCCCCCUAAUCAGAGCAGUCUGGGACAGCAAGCUGAGGGCCGCACAAGAGAAGGACUUGAGGAAUGUUUAAGGACCACUCUAGGCCAGUCCAGUCCAUCUGUGGCCUUAGUUCCUGUCCUGGACUUGCCUGACUCUGCUGGCCAUCCACUUGUCCUGCUGGCUCAGUCUGUAGAGAGUGAGACCUAUCUGGACAAGAGAAACUACUCUCUCCCAUCCACUGCACAGAGCUACAACUCCAGAACAAUGCUGAAGGAGGGUCCAUCCUGGGAUCAGUUAGAUCCACGCAGAAAAGAAGAGGAUCUCGACUGUUCAUACAGACUACAUCUGGACACACACCAACCCUUUACUAUUUGUCAUUGUGUGUUGUGUGAAUGUGCUGAUGUAGUACGUUUCAAUAAAUAUGUGUAUAAUUGCAUACAUGAGUAUGGGGGCUUACUCAAGACACCAGGCCAGUAAUCCACUGUAUCCUACACCCAAGCCUUCCAGCAGCUGUCACUCUGAAACAGAGAGCGCAUUUAUGAGACAAAUCUACUGUUCAGUACAGUACAGCCCACAUGCCAGAGCACCAGUGCCCAUUAAAGACCAGCAGUCAGUGUAUCCCAGACCACGAGCUAAGAUAUCCUGUUAGCGAUAGAGUUACGCUUAGCACGCUAACACCCCUAAUAAAAGCUUUUUGUGACAGAAAAGCUAUACAUUGAUUUGUUUUUGGGGUGUUAUGUUUUGUUUUUCUCCCUCGUGCUUGGCGGGCCAGAAACGUGUUAUUAUUGUGUAAUUGGCAAUCAGAACCAAGCACCUGAAAAGAUUAAGCAUUUUAUGUUGCCCAUCGAUUCUAACACAGUCUGGUUAAUAGGAGAGGGUCGUUCCCCUAGCUUACACAGCUGCAGGGCAGGUGUCCACACAGAGAGAGAGAGAGAGAGUGUGUGUGUGAGAUGGGUCUGGCAACAAGUCUAUAUCUGGUGUGUGCGUGUGGUGUGUGAAGAAAACAAUGCCAUAGCUAUUGCUCCUGGAGCAUUUAUUUUCUCAAAGAUCCUGAACCGUAUUGAAGAGCUCAAUUGGAAUGCAUCUUUACUCAGGCUAUAUUCUCUCCAUUGUGCUGGUGAUGGAGGGGAGCAGAGUGGGCUAUUGAUCUCAACCCAUCUGUGGUUUCAUUGCUCUUAUCAAGAAUUUGACAAUAGAGGCAACUGACAGAUCCUGAAGAUUUUUAUUGAAGGUCCAAAAAACAAACAAGGAAUUAUCUAUGAGGCUGAGCAAAACAACACACCAAUAAAAUACUGUAAAUGUUAAGGUUAACCAUUUAGUUUUAGCCUACCUAAAGGAAAUGCAAGUGCACAAAUAUGGAAUAACAGCAGCACUCAAUUUAGAAAUGUGUAAUAAGUUCCUUAUUAAAAUACUGAACACAUGUUAGAAGUUUUGACUCUUCUCAGUUUAUUUUUUAACUGUGAGUCCAAAGCAUUCCUUUGCCUUACUGAAAUACCAAGCAGAUCUUUGGGUAGGAAUCUUGUGGUCGGUAAUAUCCUACAUCUUUUUUUUAAAAUCUGAAUGUGGUAGGCCUACAGGGGAUGGUGUCAGCAUUUUAGAACGCCCCAGCCACAACAUUUGGUGCCACACACAGACAGACAAGCACUUGUCGAUCACCAUGGAAAACAAUUAUGUCCCAGACAUGCAGACAGACACAAGCAGUAACAUCAGAAAUGUUGUCACUCCCCUGGACAUGGCUGUACACAUACUGUAGGGCUACAGCUAGGACUGCAAAAUUCCGGGAACUUUAAAUAAAUUCCCUGGUUUUCCAUAUAUCCUGGUUAAAGGAUUCCGGAUUUCCUGCUUAUUCCCUCCUGAUUCCAGGCAACCUCCAACCGGGAUUUCGGGAAAACCUGGGAAUUUAUCUACAGUACAGACUGUGGUGUCUAUCGAUGUUAACUGCUCAAUGUUAUUACCAUUGUAUCUUCAGAAAAAUUCAUAAAGACAGGGUGACAUUUUAUUUUUUGUGUUAAAAAAAAACAUCCUCUACUCAAGAAACCUGCAGCCAGCCCACACACAAACUAGUAGUCGUCAGUGGCUAACAUUGUCCUUUGUGUGCAGUGUACCACCCCGCGGCCCUUGUCAUUGUGGCCAUGCACAUGGACUUUGACUGUGUGCUAGCUCCUUCAGGCUACCCAGACUGGCUUCGCAGCUUUCCUUCCCCCUGGCAGUGGUAUACAGUGGUGGAGACCGUGUCAGGAUGUCUCUGGGGCUUCAGACACUGUGGCCUCUAGUUUCAAAUCCAUGGUGGCUUAUAUGAUUGCCAUGUUUUGAAUCUUUUUGAAAGUGUUCUUAUUUGUGUUUCUUCCAAUUUUUUUUUUUUUUUUUUUUUUUUUUUACAAAUGUGAAUACCAGCAACCAUCAUAUGAGACAUUUAUCACUGACAUGUUGGUGCUUCCAUGUACUCCUUUAUAUAGCCUCUACAAAUCUGAGAAUGGAAUACUCC